GGGUUGUUAGCUCAGCGGUAGAGCGCCAGGGGAUUAUAGGAGUACGCCCGACCCAGCCCUUCAUGGCAAACUGGGAAGGGUAAGCUCCUAACUUGGAGGCCGUAGGUUCGAUCCCUACACAAUCCA